CGUCUAGGCGGGGAAUUAAGUUAGGUGUGAAAUCCAUGGGCUCAACUCGUGAAUGGCAUCUAAAACUGAUUCUCUUGAGUUCGGGAGAGGAGAGCAGAAUUCCUGGUGUAGCGGUGAAAUGCGUAGAUAUCAGGAGGAAUACCAGUGGCGAAGGCGGCUCUCUGGCCUAGGACUGACGCUGAAGCGCGAAAGCGUGGGGAGCGAACG
rnacentral:rRNA from 1 species